GAGACUGCUGACCUCACGAAACGCUAUAAAUUCUCUUGAUGAAACGCAAACAGUGGACUUAUGACCGCGGGGAGAUGCACAGAAUCGUGAGCUGGACCAGACUGAACAGAACCUUAGUGAUCUGGAUCUAAUUUAAUAAACCACAGCAGAACUCAGAUGUUUGGAGGUGUUUGGAUGACGGCCAUCAUCCCAUCUGCACAUGUUCUGUUUCCACGUCUAUAACACACACACAUACGCCUGAUAUUCACCUCAUAUGACGGAGUUAUAAAGCCAUCACUGAAGUUACUGCAAAAGAAAAGUAUCUGAGUGAGAAAUGCACAGAUGAAUUCAGAUGAGGGAAAAACUGAUGAUCUGAGAGAAGCAUCGAGCGUCAGGACGGAAUGAAUCACUUUGGUGGUUGGAAUUUCUGAAAGUGGACAAAAAAUUCAUUCAGUGACAAUAAAG